rnacentral:tRNA from 1 species
GCGAGGUCGGCCCGCAGGGCGGAGGCCGGAGCCGCCAGGGCUUCGAUCGCCGUCAUCCAGCCGAGCGCGUCGUUCGGGUCGACGAACCGCGCG